CGACGCUGGCGGCGUGCCUAACACAUGCAAGUCGAGCGGGGUUAUUGGGGUUCAGCUUGCUGAACGCCACUGACCCAGCGGCGGACGGGUGAGUAACGCGUGAGCAAUCUGCCUCAUACAGGGGGAUAACAGGCGGAAACGCCUGCUAAUACCGCAUAAGACCACGCCACCGCAUGGUGGAGCGGUCAAAGGGUGCACAGACGAGAGGCUGUGCAUACCGGUAUGAGAUGAGCUCGCGUCCCAUUAGCUUGUUGGUGAGGUAACGGCUCACCAAGGCGACGAUGGGUAGCCGACCUGAGAGGGUGAUCGGCCACACUGGGACUGAGACACGGCCCAGACUCCUACGGGAGGCAGCAGUGGGGAAUAUUGCGCAAUGGGGGGAACCCUGACGCAGCAACGCCGCGUGAGCGAAGAAGACCUUCGGGUCGUAAAGCUCUGUCAUAGGGGAAGAGGAGAAGACGGUACCCUAUGAGGAAGCCCCGGCUAACUACGUG
rnacentral:rRNA from 1 species